rnacentral:pre_miRNA from 1 species
AAAGUACUCCCUCUGUCCCAAAAUUCUUGUCUUAGAUUUUUCUAGAUACGGAUGUAUCAAGUCACAUUUUAGUAUUAGAUACAUCCGUAUCUAGACAAAUCUAAGACAAGAAAUUUGGGACAGAGGGAGUAGUUG